UUGUUGGAGAGUUUGAUCCUGGCUCAGGACGAACGCUGGCGGCGUGCUUAACACAUGCAAGUCGAGCGGAAAGGCCCUUCGGGGUACUCGAGCGGCGAACGGGUGAGUAACACGUGAGCAACCU
rnacentral:rRNA from 1 species